GUCUACACUGAAGCAUUGAGGUUUUUUUUAUGCUCCUUGCAUCUCCUUCUUCUUCUUCUUCUUCUUCAUCUCCUUCUUCAUCUCCUUCUAAACCUUCACCUGAUGAUACUCUAUCCUUUGGUUCUAGUGAAGAAGGUUUUCCUGUACUCUGUUCUUCUUUUGCUGGGAGGACCCGAAAUGACAAUGGCUUUGUGAAACAGGGUCUCUUACAAUGGUGAUAAAUAUGUCUUCAUGUUCAAUCCAGAAUGUAAUAGAAAUUAGAGUAACAAGUACUUACUAAAGCAAAGAGAAGAUACCUUUGAUACUGAUAGUGUUUUCAAAAAUGGUGUACCAUCACUAUUCCCUUGUUCCUGUUUCCUGGAGGUGUAGUUGCUGACUGCUAAGGCAACGGAUAGGAUUUUCAGCACUCCAGCAACUUUCAACAUUUCAACUUUCAACUUUCCAGCAUUUCAGCAACUCCAGGUGAAUUAGGUCAUCGCUGGUCCAUUAAUUGCUGUAAUUAUAUUUAUAAUCACUGGAGCCCUCUCAAUCUAUAUCCUAUUAUUACUGAAUGGGAAUAUUACCAAUUAUUUCGUUUGUUAUUUCUGAGUUUGAAAUAGAAGGCUACUGAUAUGAGAGAGGACAUUCUUGAGUCAGUUGAAUCAUGUAAUGAAUUAAUGACAUCAUUAGUCUCUAGUGAAGGGCGGGGCAAGACUAUGACAUUGUUUAGGUUAGUUGUGAUCCUUACCUACCUC